GGGAGACGGGAAGAGGAGCGGCGAGCGACGGCUGGCAGACAACCUACCCACUCCCAGCCCCGCGCCCACCUCAGGAGCGUCUCGAGCGCGCCCUCGUGCUUGUCCAGCGGACGACCGACUGCGGCGCGGCGCAGCUUGCUGAGCUCCUCCGCCGCGCGGCAGUACUGGGCCUGCUCUUCCCCGCCGCUUGGGUAAGUCUGCUGGAUGAACUUCACCAGCGGCUUGGCCAGGUCCACCUCUGAGGUCUUUUUCAGCUGCACCGAGAUGAAUGUCGCCAUGAUCAGCGCCUCCGCCGCCGUUCGGGCCAAACAGACCGCGGACAGCUUACGAGGGCCGAGGAGAGAGAGGUACUGGGCUGGCGGACUGGCGGACUGACUGGCUGACAGACUUGCGCUCCGCCUGCGUUCCGGGUCCGGCAACUUCCGGGAGCUCCAGCGCAGGCGCACUGGAUGCGGGGUCCUUAAGCUGUCCGCGGUCACGUGAAGGUGUCGCGGCGGCUACGCCCACCUGGACCCAGUUUACCCUGUACUGUGCUGCAAAAUAUUACUUUCUCCCCAUCUGGAAUUCUUCCCUUCCUCCUUCCUGCCGCAGUGGUGUACUGAGCACUUUCACGUAAGAGUAUUCCUCCACUCGAACAACCCCCCGGAGAAGUACUGGUGUCACUGCCACCUGCGAGAGUUUGCGGCUACCUCCCCAAGAGGCAGUCCCAGGGUUAUUGUGACCUAUGAUGUUUAUUCAACUACUGUUGACGGGCUGCUGUGCACAGGGAACCUAGUAGGCAAGACCCCUGCCAUCGUGCAGCUUACUGUCAGGUUGACACAGACCUUAAGGUAAACGGAAAAAGUAUCAGGAAAAAAACAGGGUGCUUGGGACUUAGGAGAUGUUAAGAUCGCUUGGAGGACCCUAAUUUAAAUAAGAUAAAGUAGGUUUUCUCCGAGUAGGUUAACUGAAAAUGAACCUGUGUCUCUGGUUGCUGUUUUGUAGAAAGAACAAAAUUUUAAAUAAAUUAAAAACGACACCUGUAAUUUGAGAAGAUGCUUGAUAUCAGAAGAGGAGAAGAGUGGAGAGGGGUGGAGUGGCAAAGGAGAGCCUCCAAACCAAAAGCCUGCGGCAGAGGCCCUAGGAGGCAAGCACUUAACCAUGUUUCAGGACUAGAAACGAAACAUGUGACAAGACCUUUAAAAACAAAUAGAAUGGGAUGGAAUAAAGUUGGAUGAGUAAGCAGGCAUCAAAUCAUUCAGAAACUUGUUGUCCAAGUUGAAGAAUUUGUUUAGUAUUGUAUAAUAAAUGCAGAGGAAGCUAUAUACACUUAUAAUUUACAUUUUUUAAAGGCCACGUUGUAGCUCAAUCGGAUAGUUUGUCUUUUGAUGGGAUGUAGUAUACAGUAUCAUCAUGGUAUAUUCCAGGCAAAAAUAUUUAACUUGAAUCUGUCAAGCCUUUGCAUCUAACACAGUUUAUAAAAAAUACAACAGAUAGAUGAACAAACUAAAUGAUGCCAGAGGAAGUAACUAGACAGAUCCAGAAGGUGAAACAUUCUGCAGGAUAACUGGCCCAUCUCUUCAACAAUUUGUCAUGAUAAAAGCAACUGCUUUAUGAAAAGAAAUUUAAGGGACAUAACAGUUUGAAUUGGAUCCUGGUUUGAACAGACUGUCUAUAAAAUGCAUUUUCAGGACCAUUAAAGAAAUAUGAAUGUAGAUGGACUGAGUAUUGGAUAAAAUAGAACUGUAUUGCCAUGGAAAAGAUCAUUAACUGAAAAGAGCAAGUCACGAAAUAGUAUGUUACAGCAUCUCAUUUUGGUUUAAAAAUGCACAUAUAUGUAUUUAUGUACAACUAAAAAAAUAGUGGGCUUAUACCCUAAGGUGUUAGUAUUGGUAAUCUUUGGAAGUGGAAAUGUGUAUUUUUUUCUUUGUGUUUGCCUAUCUUUUUCAUUGUAACUUUUGCAGCACAUAGACUACUUUCAUUAUAGUAAAAGUUUAUUUUACCACAAUUUUUUUUUUUUUAGAAAGAGUCUCACUCUGUCACCCAGGCUGGAGUGCAGUGGCACAAUCUCAGCCCACUGCAACCUCCACCUCCCAGGUUCAAGCUAUUCUCCUGCCUCAGCCUUCUGAGUAGCUGGGACUACAGGUGCACACCACAUGCCUGGCUAAUUUUUGUAUUUUUAAUAGAGACUGGAUUUCGCGAUGUUGGCCCGGCUGGUCUCGAACUCCUGGCCUCAAGUGAUCCACCCGCUUUAGCCUCCCAAAGUGCUGGGAUUACAGGCGUGAGCCACUGCACCCGGCCUAUUUUACCACAAUUUAUAAAAAUUUUUGUUUAUUUUAAUUAAGCUAUUCUAUGUUAAAAUAAGUAGCCACCCUUGGCUGAUGCAUAAAGAAAAAAUUAGAGGAAGGAAAGAAUGGAGGCAAGGAGGCAAAUCAUGAGACCAUUUCAGAAAUCAAGACGAAAUCAGGAAAGCUAACAUUAGCAAGAGUGAACCAAACUGAUAAUAUCUUUGAGUUUAAAACUGAAGAAUUUACCAAUGAACUGCAUAGGAAAGUAAAGAAAAGAGAGUGGUCAAGAUAGGUCCUGGUUUUGGGGCCUGAACAUCUGAGUGGUUAGUAGAAUCAUUACCAGUUGAUAACCCAUGGAAGAGGGUGGGGGAUGGGUGGUGUCUUGUAGGUUGGUUGACAGGACUGACCCAUUGGGAAGAUAACGAAGAAGCAAAGUAUAUGAAAAGAGGAGAAAGGGUAACCAGAGGAGGGAGGAUACAAAGGGAGUGAUUAGCCAUCAGAAAGAUGAGGGACAUGACAUUUGUUGAGGCAGAUGGCGGAGAAAAGAAAGUUAACAUAGAUGUGGUUAGUUUUGUGGCAUUGACCAAAGGAAGAUUAAGGUGAUACUAUCUGAUGGCUUGGAAUGAAAACCAAACUCCCUGCCACAACAUGAUGAUCUUUCUCUGCAACUUCAUAUUUUGCCUCUUGUUCCUCAUUUGUUACCACUGAGUCACAAUGGUCUUUUUAGUUUCUCAAACACACCAAGAUCUUUCUUGCCUCAUGUGACCUAGAAUGUUUUCUCCCUUUCUUCAUAUCUCAGUUGAAAGGUCUCCUCUCCUCAUCAUCAUACUAUCUAAAGUAGAUUCCCUCCCUUGUUAACCUCUAGCGCAGCCAUUAGUUCCUUCAUAACACUUACCCUAACUUGCAAGUAUUUUGUUUGUUGAUAUAAUUUUUAUCUGACUUCCCCACUAAAAUGUAAGCUCCAUGAGGGCAAAAAUUGUGUGUUUUGUAUACUGAUGCAUCUCUAGCACUUGGUAUAGCAGGCAUUCAAUAAAUAUCAUUAAAUAAGUUUCACCCUUGUAAAAAAAAAAAAUAUAUAUAUAUAAAAUAUAUUCUCUACUUCCAAAAUAACACACUUUCACCAACAACAAGCACUCCAGCUAAUUAGGCAAUAGGCCAAUAAGCAAAGAAUUAUGGUAUAUUAGUCAAGAUUGGCUAGCUUAUGUUCUGACAAUAAACAAUUUCAAAAUCUCAGUUUCAAUUUUAAACUCAAAGAUACUAAUAAACAUUUGUUCUUUGCUCACACAAAGUCUAAUAUGGAACAGGCUUAGAGUUGUCCUCCAACCAGUGUCUGAGCAAUCCAGACCACUUUGAUCUUGUAACUCUGCCAUCCCAACAUGAGAUUCCACUUUCACUGCAGAAGAGGAAAUCUGUAGCAUCAUGCAGCAGCUUGUCACUACCUCAGCCCUCCUACUUCCACUUGCAUUUCACUAGCUAGAACCUUUCACAUGGCUCCACCAAACUGCAAUGGGACUGGGAAGGGAGAAUCAGAUAUUAGGGAGCAUUUAUAAUGCCUUCCAAGGGUGUGUUUCACUGCUUCCAAACUUGCUUAUGAUGAUGUUUUUCAUUUAUGUAAUGAAAUGCCAUAUGUUCUUAGUGUGUAUUCUCAGCAUAACGAGUACAUUUGGAGAAUAUUAAGUCAGUGGACUUUCCUUCUUGAAAAUUCCUGGUUCUGGGCCUAUCAUUAACCCCACUGAUUGAACCAGUGGAAAUAGUUGCCUCUUCGAAUGGAGAGAACCCUGCUGAAGGCAGCUUUGAGUUUCAAAAUAGUGUGUUUCAAGUCCACAUGGAGACGAUAGCCUGAAAGUAAGCACUUAUGAUUUUUGGAGGAGUCUUUGUUAUUAAGGAGAAAAGAGGCUUACAGAAGUCAGAUUCAGAAGACUGUAGUAUUUUUACAAUAAAUGAGAGUAAACAGUAUAAGGAUUUGAUGUAAGGGAAGUUCCUGCAGUGCAAGAAAGAAAGUCCUUUUGGUGCUGAGCGGAACAGUCUAAGAGAGAAAAGGUGAAGAACAAAAGGAAAAUGUAAAUGUGGUAUUCACACUUCCCUACUCCACACUCAGGAUAAACCUAGAGUAUGAGGUAGAGGCGGGAAUCUAGAGGGGAGGAAGCAUAGAAUAGGAACACCCAAAUAGACUUGAUGAAACAAAAAACAUCAAGGAUGGCUCCCGUGUCACCUGGGAAGACACACUUCAUGUAAGGAAUGGAAAAAAGGCAAUGGUAAGGGACAGGGGCCCUGGAUUUUUUACAACAUGCGAUAGAGAACUAUUUGUCUCCUUAAUUUAUUUAACUUUAAAAAAUAAUAAUGAAUGAAAGAAAAAUUACCCAUUUUUCAAAUAUGGGUGUGUAAGUUUUUUCCACUUUGUACAAAAAAUUUUAAAGAAACGAAAACUGCUGAACACCUUAUAUUCAGAAUUACUCCCUGUAUAAGCCCAUUCCAAUUCCAUAUACUGCUGAUUAAAUUUCCAUCAGUUGGCAGUUCUCUAAUAUCAGUUUCACUGCUAUUUAACUAACUACUGCCCUUUGCUACCAGUGUCUCUCUUGGAUGAGAGUCACUUUACUUGAAUAAGAUAACUUCUGAGAAUAAAUCUAUGCACUAUUUUGGAAGAAUUGCUCUAUAGAGUAAAAAAUAAUUCUGGAUAAUUGAAAGUUAUCUUGUGAGUAUCUGGACAUUAAGGAUACAUUUCAAGACUCCUGUUUUCACUAAAAUCCAAUAUUUGUUUAAGCACUUCAAGUUAAAGAGGAGCACCUUCCCCUUUCACCCUGACUAUCGUUGUUAAUUCGUUUUUGAAGCUAUAUAAGAACGUUUCUUUAAUCGGUUUUCCCUUAGGCAUACAUUAGCUCUCUGUUCAAGACUUAGUAGCAGAGAGUAGUAAGUAAAUGGUUAUUAGUGGUUCUUCAUAUAAAACACAUUUGAGUUUCUUAGAAGAAAACUAUGCAUAAAGAUUACUUUCAGAUAUCAUGUCUGUAGUUCGUUAAUAGAGAAGUUUCUCUGAACGUGUGGAACACUGUAAUAAGAUAAAUAAAUUUUUAAAAAGAAAAAGUAAGCAUAUAUACAAA
rnacentral:lncRNA from 1 species